rnacentral:rRNA from 1 species
AACGCUAGCUACAGGCUUAACACAUGCAAGUCGAGGGGCAGCAUGGUCUUAGCUUGCUAAGGCCGAUGGCGACCGGCGCACGGGUGAGUAACACGUAUCCAACCUGCCGUCUACUCUUGGACAGCCUUCUGAAAGGAAGAUUAAUACAAGAUGGCAUCAUGAGUUCACAUGUUCACAUGAUUAAAGGUAUUCCGGUAGACGAUGGGGAUGCGUUCCAUUAGAUAGUAGGCGGGGUAACGGCCCACCUAGUCUUCGAUGGAUAGGGGUUCUGAGAGGAAGGUCCCCCACAUUGGAACUGAGACACGGUCCAAACUCCUACGGGAGGCAGCAGUGAGGAAUAUUGGUCAAUGGGCGAGAGCCUGAACCAGCCAAGUAGCGUGAAGGAUGACUGCCCUAUGGGUUGUAAACUUCUUUUAUAAAGGAAUAAAGUCGGGUAUGCAUACCCGUUUGCAUGUACUUUAUGAAUAAGGAUCGGCUAACUCCGUGCCAGCAGCCGCGGUAAUACGGAGGAUCCGAGCGUUAUCCGGGAUUUUAUUGGGGUUUAAAGGGAGCGUAAAUGGAUGUUUNAAGUCAGUUGUGGAAAGUUUGCGGCUCCACCGUAAAAUUGCAGUUGAAACCUGGGAUAUCUUGAGUGCANUUNAAGGCAGGCGGAAUUCCUGGNNUANCGGUGA